AUUGAACGCUGGCGGCAGGCCUAACACAUGCAAGUCGAACGAGUGGCGGACGGGUGAGUAAUGUCUGGGAAACUGCCUGAUGGAGGGGGAUAACUACUGGAAACGGUAGCUAAUACCGCAUACCAUCAGAUGUGCCCAGAUGGGAUUAGCUAGUUGGUGGGGUAACGGCGCACAAAGGCGACGAUCCCUAGCUGGUCUGAGAGGAUGACCAGCCACACUGGAAAUGAGACACGGUCCAUACUCCUACGGGAGGCAGCAGUGGGGACUGUGGCACAAUGGGCACAAGCCGGAUGCAGCCAUGCCGCGUGUAUGAAGAAGGCCUUCGGGUUGGAAAGUACUUUCAGCGGGGAGGCGUUACCCGCAGAAGAAGCACCGGCUAACUCCGUGCCAGCAGCCGCGGUAAUUC
rnacentral:rRNA from 1 species